rnacentral:rRNA from 1 species
ACUCAUGGGAGACUGCCGGGGUCGAAACUCGGAGGAAGGUGGGGAUGACGUCAAAUCAUCAUGCCCCUUAUGUCUUGGGCUUCACGCAUGCUACAAUGGCCGGUACAAAGGGCUGCGAUACCGCGAGGUGGAGCGAAUCCCAGAAAGCCGGUCUCAGUUCGGAUCGGGGUCUGCAACUCGACCCCAUGAAGUCGGAGUCGCUAGUAAUCGCAGAUCAGCAACGCUGCGGUGAAUACGUUCCCGGGCCUU